rnacentral:rRNA from 1 species
UUGAUAGUUACCAUCAUUAAGUUGGGUACUCUAUUGAGACUGCCGCUGACAAGGCGGAGGAAGGUGGGGACGACGUCAAGUCAUCAUGGCCCUUACGACCAGGGCUACACACGUGCUACAAUGGGUAUUACAGAGGGCUGCGAAGGUGCGAGCUGGAGCGAAACUCAAAAAGGUACUCUUAGUCCGGAUUGCAGUCUGCAACUCGA